rnacentral:rRNA from 1 species
GAUGAACGCUGGCGGCGUGCUUAAUACAUGCAAGUCGAACGAAGAUCUAGCUUGCUAGAUCUUAGUGGCGAACGGGUGAGUAAUACAUAAAUAAUCUGCCCAUAUGACUGGGAUAACUAUUGGAAACGAUAGCUAAUACCGGAUAGGUUGAUUGGAGGCAUCUCUGAUUAAUUAAAGUAGGAUUUCUACACAAAUGGAUGAGUUUAUGGCGCAUUAGUUAGUUGGUGGGGUAACGGCCUACCAAGACGAUGGUGCGUAGCCGACCUGAGAGGACGACCAGCCACACUGGGACUGAGACACGGCCCAGACUCCUACGGGAGGCAGCAGUGGGGAAUAUUGGACAAUGGGGGCAACCCUGAUCCAGCGACGCCGCGUGUGUGGAGAAGGCCUGCGGGUUGUAAAGCACUUUUAGUGGGGAUGAAAAGCCGAAGGCUAAUACCUUUCGGUCUUGACCUAACUCAAAGAAAAAGCACCGGCUAACUCUGUGCCAGCAGCCGCCGUAA